UGCCAGCCGCCGCGGUAAUACGUAGGGUGCAAGCGUUGUCCGGAUUUAUUGGGUUUAAAGGGUGCGCAGGCGGCCAGAUAAGUUAGUGGUGAAAUCGUCCGGCUCAACCGGAUACCCGCCAUUGAUACUGUUUGGCUUGAGUCCGUCAGAGGGAGUUGGAAUGCGUGGUGUAGCGGUGAGAUGCAUAGAUAUCACGCAGAACACCAAUUGCGAAGGCAGAUUCCUAUGACGGCACUGACGCUGAGGCACGAAAGCGUGGGGAGCGAACAGGAUUAGAUA
rnacentral:rRNA from 1 species